AGUGAAGAAAGCCUUCGGGUUGUAAAGCUCUUUAGGAAUCUACGGUGAUCUCUAAUAUAGGUCACUAAUGACGGUACCUGAAGAAUAAGCACCGGCUAACUACGUGCCAGCAGCCGCGGUAAUACGUAGGGUGCAAGCGUUAAUCGGAAUUACUGGGCGUAAAGCGUGCGCAGGCGGUUAUGUAAGUCAGAUGUGAAAUCCCCGGGCUCAACCUGGGAAUGGCAUUUGAGACUGCAUGGCUAGAGUGUGUCAGAGGGGGGUAGAAUUCCACGUGUAGCAGUGAAAUGCGUAGAGAUGUGGAGGAAUACCGAUGGCGAAGGCAGCCCCCUGGGAUAACACUGACGCUCAUGCACGAAAGCGUGGGGAGCAAACAGGAUUAGAUACCCUGGUAGUCCACGCCCUAAACGAUGUCUACUAGUUGUCGGGACUUAAUUGUCUUGGUAACGCAGCUAACGCGUGAAGUAGACCGCCUGGGGAGUACGGUCGCAAGAUUAAAACUCAAAGGAAUUGACGGGGACCCGCACAAGCGGUGGAUGAUGUGGAUUAAUUCGAUGCAACGCGAAAAACCUUACCUACCCUUGACAUGGUUGGAAUCUUUGAGAGAU
rnacentral:rRNA from 1 species